CUUUCACUGUCCCAUCCGGUGACCCCAUCAUGUGGUCUCGGCCAGGAGAGGAGGGGUGGGAAUGCCCCUGGGGCCUGGCUGGAGGCACUGCUUAGUGGCUUCCAGGGCCAUGGUUCCAGAAGGGCAGGCCUGCCUUUGAAGCAGUGAGGACAGUCAUGGACAUCUCAGAUGACAAGGAGCUACGGAAGAGACUCCUGCUUCAUCCAAUCUCAUGUGUGGCCAGAAAAGGCACAGUGCUGGCAGGCCACUGUGCACGUGGACAGCCCACCCCAAGGGAAAAAUCAAGGGAGAAGAGAUGCAAACCACUCCCCGGCCCCAAGAGGCAUGCCAAUGUAUGAAACCCCAAGUCAAAGAUCAAACCAUGAACUUGAUCUCUCAAGUCACCCACU